AGAAAGUUAGUCUAAAUAAGACAGUUGAUUUCGACUCAACAAAUCAUAGCCUUCCCCUAUGACUUUCUU
rnacentral:tRNA from 1 species